AGGUACUGUGCUAAGUGUUGAAGAUAUAUGAAUGAAAGUCAUCAUUGGGCCCAAAUCUGAUGCUUUCUUAGUAACCUGGAGUAGAGUUGGCCUCUUUCAUCUUCCCUCUUGAAGCUGGAAGUCAGAAGCCUGAAGCAACUUUGAUACUUGAACAAUCCUGAAGAAGACCAGACACAAACUGAAAUUCUCUCAAUUUUGCCAACUCCGUCCAUCCCUUCAGUCAGGGCAGGGCACUCAUCUCUACCAAUAAGGAGAGAACCCCAUACCAAUGGGCUCUGAGACUAGAGUUACACUUAGUUUGGCAGGAACUCCAAGACCUUGUGUUCUGGUAGCAUCAUUUUCAAGAAGGUAAGAUCCCCUCUCCUACUCAACAUGGCACCAAAGAAGAAUAUUAGUGGAACUCUUAUCUUAAAUUUUUAUUAAAGUUUAUUAAAUAUGUAA